UCUUUUCUCUUUGGUGAGCCAGGAAGAGGAGAAUUCUGCUGAAGAAAAAGCAAGUCUGAAGUUUUCUCAGCUGCUAGCAGUGAUGUCAAAUACACAGGAGAUAGUACAAGGAUGUUUUUGUGUAAUAAGGAGCACUGAAGAACUGCCAAAGCUUUCCAAGGAAAGGCAGCAAUUUGACAGACGCAUGGGAAUUCGGGAUUCUCACUCUUCUUUUUUAGUUUGCCGCCAGCACACCAAGAUGAUUGACAGCCUGGAUACGAUCGAAGACCUGUCUUACCCGGGCCAGUCUGACUGUUUUCCCCACUACUGUAGAAGGCCACCAUAUACCUGUUGUUGCUGUGACCAAUGCGGAAGGCUGGUUUGGCAUGGUUGCUGUUGGUCCAUACCCCGCUGGUGGUGCUCUAAGGGCAGCUCUGGAAGUAGCUGUCCAUGCUAAAUCCAUCUCAAAUAUCCAUGGCACUUGGAGCAACGUGGACAUGAGAAGCAAGAUACAGAUUCAUGGCUGACCCAAGGGACGUGGCUUGGAGCUGUGCUAAGCACUCAGUACCUCUAAUGUGAGGGCUUCACAUUGCUAGAAGCCUCCCUCCCCCAUACAUGUGGCCCUUUGAAAAUCCUUGGGAGUAUUUGCGGUCUCCUCUGUAUCCCUUGUGUGUCGGUAUACUCAAUUUCUUCCAUGCAUUAAAAUUACUG